ACACUGACUUCUGCUGAAGACAGAAAGCUGUGGUUUGUAGUAAAAGAGGCCGCCUUGACUCAGAGCUUACGUCUGCCUCUCCCACAGUUCAGCAUCCUGACAGAACAUGGAGCCAUGAAGGGGAGGAGGCCAGAGCACUGGCCACCCAUCUGUGUAAUACAGCCUGAGGCUGUGGCGCCAAGAGGGUCCUUCAUUCUGAGGCAUGGUGGUACGUGACUAGGAGCCCACACUCAAGAGGCCGUGGUACAGAAGCUUAAAGCCAUCCUCUGCUACAUAGGGAGUUUGAGGCCAGACUGGCGCACAUGAAAUGUUGACAAAGAUGGAGAAGCAGCUAUGAACAUCUGGGCCAGCUGUUCUCCGCAGGUAAAAUGAGUCACUGUACUGGUUCGUUUUGUCAACUUUGACAGACACAAGCUGGGGUCACCUGGGAAGACAGAACCUCAGUUGAGAAAAUGCCUCCCACCCCCAACAGAUUGGCCUGUAGACAAACCCGUGGAUCAUCAUCUUAUUUAAUGACUGGUGUGGGAGGGCCCCGACCCAUUGUGGAUGGUGCCAUCCCUAGGCAGGCAGCCCUGUUGUGCUUUUAAGAAAGCAGACUGAGCCAGCCACAAGGAGCGAGGCAGUAAGCAGCGUUCCUUCAUUGCUUCUGUUUCAGUUCCUGUCAUCCCUGAAUGCCCUCAGGGACAGAGUGUAAGCUGUAAACUGAAAUAAACCCCUUUCUCCCCAACAUACUUUUGGUCAUGGUGUUUACCACAGUCAAUAGAAAGCAUAGUGAGCACAUGGGGGCAACAUGGUGACUGAGCCUGCAUCAUUAGUAUUGUUCCUCGGCAGCUUAAACCUGCUAAAUGGGUUGGUAAACAGCUUGGCAGUUAGAGGGCUCGCUACUCUUGCACAGGACCUGGGUUUGGUUCCCAGCACCCAGGUCAGGAAACUCACAACCACCUCUUAACUCCAGCUCCUGCAGAUCUGGUGUCCCCUUGUGGUCUCCUCAGAUAGCCACAACUCCACUAGCAGUGUAUGAGAAUGCUAUAAUAACAGCAAUAACUAUUACUACUACUACUUCCUGGCCAAGAAGAUGACUGUGGGGAGAAAAAGACGAUAAGUAUUUGCUAAAGGCCAUCCCACGCCAGCUGUGUUUAUUUGUUGAACUCCAUCUCCAUGUCCGUGGACCAAACAGCCCUGGUCCUUUAGAUCUGUAGUUUAUAUAGUGCAUCUUUCAACACCCUGAAACCUUGACCCAAGUUGUAGCCGAAGGAAAGAGGGUUUCUGGUAAAUAUGGUUUCCAGUCAGGAGCCCCAAGUCAAGUCUCCCCAUCCCUCCUCUUCCUGGAGUAGACCACCUCUGUGGUUGGAACCACCUCUGUGGUUGGAACCGCUGGCAAGCCAUCAAAAAGGGAGGGUGGUUGACUUGGAGCUGAGACUGUAAGUGCUUAUAAGAAAUGAAAGACAUGGUUUGGGGUGAAAAAGUCAUGCUUCCGGGUACAAAGGCAAAGCCACUAAUAACCCAAGGAUUCGGCGUUCCAUCUGACCUGCUCUGAUACGGUCACUAUGGUGACAGUCUCCAUAAACAGCCUCGACAUAACCAAACGAAAGGAAACAAAACAAAACAGAAAAAGGAAGGAGAAACUUCCACCCUGGCGAUCUGGAGGUAUUUUAGGGAUCAAGGCAAUGUUGUGUGGGGUAAAUAUUGAAUGCAGAAUCUGUUCUUUUAAUAACUGGUCCUCCCUCCCUUUUGGGAGUCUGAACAAAGCCUCGGCAGAUCACAGAAUGAAGCCCCAGCCCAGUGUCUUCAGGGUUCAGAAAGUGCAGCCAAGAGAACGGAAACAAACGGGUACGGACAGACGUUCAGAUUCUUCUCACACCCUCCGCCUGGGACACUGAGCCGAGCCUUCUGUGGAGUCCAAGGGUGGAACAAGGUUCAUGUUCUCUGGAAAAGAGGCUGGGCUUUGGGCUCCAGGGAACUGAACUUGGUUCCCGGUCCCUGACCUUGAUUCCUGAGCCAGCAGCAGUGAUGGAGGGAAGCAUCUUUAAGCUACACCAAGUCUCUGGGGGCAUCUGCAUCUGCUGCAAAUUCCUUUGCCUCUCCCAGCCUCCUGCUACUCUCUUUGAAUCCCUGACUCAGCGAGCUGCAGUCCAAAGAGCAGAACUAACUAUGUUAUUUCUUCUUCUUCUUUUUUUUAAUGCCAA
rnacentral:lncRNA from 1 species